UACGGGGGGAGCAAGCGUUGUUCGGAAUUACUGGGCGUAAAGGGCUCGUAGGUGGCCAACUAAGUCAGACGUGAAAUCCCUCGGCUUAACCGGGGAACUGCGUCUGAUACUGGAUGGCUUGAGGUUGGGAGAGGGAUGCGGAAUUCCAGGUGUAGCGGUGAAAUGCGUAGAUAUCUGGAGGAACACCGGUGGCGAAGGCGGCAUCCUGGACCAAUUCUGACACUGAGGAGCGAAAGCCAGGGGAGCAAACGGG
rnacentral:rRNA from 1 species